rnacentral:rRNA from 1 species
GAUGAACGCUGGCGGCGUGCCUAAUACAUGCAAGUCGAGCGAACAGACGAGGAGCUUGCUCCUCUGACGUUAGCGGCGGACGGGUGAGUAACACGUGGAUAACCUACCUAUAAGACUGGGAUAACUUCGGGAAACCGGAGCUAAUACCGGAUAAUAUAUUGAACCGCAUGGUUCAAUAGUUAAAUACGGUUUUGCUGUCACUUAUAGAUGGAUCCGCGCCGCAUUAGCUAGUUGGUAAGGUAACGGCUUACCAAGGCAACGAUGCGUAGCCGACCUGAGAGGGGGAUCGGCCACACUGGAACUGAGACACGGUCAAGACACCUACGGGAGGCAGCAGUAGGGAAUAUUCCGCAAUGGGCGAAAGCGUGACGGAGCAACGCCGCGUGAGUGAUGAAGGUCUUCGGAUCGUAAAACUCUGUUAUUAGGGAAGAACAAAUGUGUAAGUAAAUAUGCACGUAUUGACGGUAACUAAUCAGAAAGCAACGGCUAACUACGUG